rnacentral:rRNA from 1 species
CAGCACCUCAAGUGGUCAGGAUGAUUAUUGGGCCUAAAGCAUCCGUAGCCGGCUCUGUAAGUUUUCGGUUAAAUCUGUACGCUCAACGUACAGGCUGCCGGGAAUACUGCAGAGCUAGGGAGUGGGAGAGGUAGACGGUACUCGGUAGGAAGGGGUAAAAUCCUUUGAUCUAUUGAUGACCACCUGUGGCGAAGGCGGUCUACCAGAACACGUCCGACGGUGAGGGAUGAAAGCUGGGGGAGCAAACCGGAUUAGAGACCCCCGUAGUCC